rnacentral:rRNA from 1 species
GUGCCAGCCGCCGCGGUAAUACGUAGGGUGCUAGCGUUGUUCGGAAUCAUUGGGCGUAAAGCGCGUGUAGGUUGUUAUGUAAGUCGGAUGUGAAAUCCCUGGGCUCAACCGAGGAAGUGCAUCCGAAACUACAUGGCUAGAGGACGGUAGAGGAAGGUGGAAUUCCAAGUGUAGAGGUGAAAUUCGUAGAUAUUUGGAGGAAUACCGGUGGCGAAGGCGGCCUUCUGGGCCGUUCCUGACACUGAGACGCGAAAGCGUGGGUAGCAAACAGGAUUAGAAACCCCAGUAGUCC